rnacentral:rRNA from 1 species
AUGGCACUACCCAUCCACCUCAUGGUGGUGCUUGCCCCGCCAGUAUGGGCUAUCAAGAUCAUUAACAGGAAGUGUCAGGGUUUUAUCUAGAAAGGGGAGGAAGAGGUGAGUGGAGGGCACUGUUGAGUCCCCUGGAAACAACUCUAUGACCCGAAAGAUUGUGGCGGACUCGGGGUCCUGAAUCUACGAUUGUUCGGAUGGGCAUUAAGAUGCAGAUGGCCAUGGCUGAGGUGGGUUGGCAACCCCAGACCGUGGCACUUCCUGCUAGAUAGCCAGGAGAAGGAGGUUUUGGAAAUGUUUAGUGCUGCCACUGCAAUCUCACUUGGCGAUGGGAAUUCCACACAGUUUUGGAUGGACAACUGGCUGCCGAACGGGAGAUCGUCCUGGGUCAAAGAUAUCGCUGUCGGCAUCUCUGUGCAGGCACUCGCACAGUAUCUCUCUUUUUGGGAUAUCAUGCACGCCACGAACCAGACCCUAGGAGAGCGGGAUCGAGCAAUAUGGAAGCUCACAAAGGACCAAGAAUUCUCUAUGAGUAGCGCCUAUAGUUUGUUCUUCAUGGAUAAUGAGCGUUUCGCCUGCAACAAGCCGAUUUGGAGGUCUAAAGCCCCCCCACGGUGCAAGUUCUUCAUGUGGCUAGCAGUGCAUGGGAAAUGUCUGACAGCGGAUAACCUGCUUCGUCGAGGCUAGCUGGCUAGUGCAUCCUACACCCUGUGUCUAUCCGAACCUGAGAGUUGCAUGCAUCUGUUCGUUCACUGCCAUUUCACGCAUCAUGUCUGGAGGCUUUUCAAGGCUUGCCUAGGGAUUUCCUUUACCUUGCUGGAUGACAACUUUAGCUUCAUCGAGGAUUGGUGGCUGCAGGCUAGAGCCGGAGUGCCCAAGAUGAUGCAUCGCAAUUUUGACACUAUUGUUAUUCUGAUCCAGCCGCGGCUGUGGAAGGAAAGGAGCUCCAGGAUCUUUGACUAG